ensembl:antisense Gm28287 predicted gene 28287
GAACAAAUAAUCGCUUCUAAAUGUACAGAAAUGCAAAAUGAACAGAGGACUGUUUAAUUUCUUUUCUUUUUUUAAAAUUAGUUUCACGGUUACGAGUUUGCAAAAAUAGCAGUCUGAAGGUAACUAGAACUGAAUGAAGUUCCUUAAAGAAAUUUAUCUCCUGUAUUCUAAACUGUGCACUAUUUAACAGACAGCCCUAGGGCUUCUAACUCCACGGGCGGGGCGGGGGGCAUUAAUGCCUAUAUUGGACUAACCUUUCAUGGACUAUCACUCACUACUACGCUGUCUCCCCAAUCAAGAUUCUUCUGAAAUUCGGACCUAGCCUUGUAAAGAACUCUGGAGCACCUUGACUCUCAAUGUACAAAUGUUCUAAUGCUCAAUGAUUUGUGGGAAUUUCCUUCACAUAUGUAAUGCCUCUCUGGGACAAGCCAGAUGCCAUAUAUUUAUACAGCAGAAUUCACAUGGCAGUGUCUGAGACCUCUUGCCAGCAGCCAGCAAUGACUUCAUGCUUGGGAGGGAGCUACUUUGGAAGAAGAUUGUCCAACCCUA